GGUGUAUGAAUGAAUUUUGUGUGAGAAAGCAUGUGUGUGAGAUUUUGAGCUCCAGAGUUCUUAUUGAUGUAUGCAUUGUUCACAGGAAAACAUGAAUGAUAUUGCCUUAAUCUUGAUUGAAUUGCAUGUGAAUGUCAUAUGAUCAAGGCCAUUUUUGAAAACCCUUCUCUAGCCAAAUUUUCACCCAAAGUACUUGAAAUAUUAUACCCUUUUUGAACCUUAGCCUUAAACAAUAUGUGAACCCUUGUUUUGAAAUUCUUUACCUUGAGUUGGGAUGGGCUUAAUUGUAUGUGAUGAAAAGGUUCAAGUUAGGGGUUGUGCGGGGAAAAAUUGAAAAAAAAAAAAAGCAAGUGAAGGGCAUUGAGCUCAAUUGUUGUGAAAAAAGAAAAAUUCAUGAAAAAGAAAAGAAAAGAAAAGAAGAAAAGCAUGAAAAUGAGCUCAAUGAAAAAGAAAAGAAAAGGGAAGAAGUGGGGAAUGAGAGACAUUGGUGAGAGAGUUAUGCUUAAAUGUUGAAUAUUUUGUUAGUUCUCUUGACUCAAGGAUUUUGCAUUCUAGAAAAACCAAUUUUUCUUGUUAGCCCAACCUCAUUACAAGCCUUGAAAAUGUCCUUUUGAUGACAUUUGCAUGUAAAGAUGUUGAUUGUUUGAGAUGAAUGGCAAUUUUGUUUCAUGUAACUUGUGAACAACAGAGAGUGGAGUGUCACCUUAAACACUUGAGUGAUUGAGUGAAACACUUGCUUGGUAUGAACUGUUGAUUUUCAUGAGUACAUUUUUGCUUAGUGGAUUGGUCAUUCAUAAUGUAUAACAUUUGUUGUGCAAUCUAUGGAUUGAAAGCAUGCAUGCAUCUUACUUUGGAUUUCACUGAGAAUAUUGAAUUGAGUAUUUUUGUCAUGUACCUUGGGAUUGUUGAGGCAUUGGAUGAA
rnacentral:lncRNA from 1 species